rnacentral:rRNA from 1 species
GUCAGCAGCUGUACCGCCUGCCAUCCAAAAUAGGUAACCCAUCUGAAGCUAAGCAGGUUUGGAUCUGGUCAGCACUUGGAUAGGAGACCAACUAAGAAAGUAGGUUCUUGCUGGAG